rnacentral:lncRNA from 1 species
UCAACAAUUGGUCUUCUGAGGAGAUUGUCCAAGUCACUUUUCUGGAGGAGUAAUUUUCUUUGUUUGUUCAUGCAUAUCCAAGUCUUACGUUCCGCCCAAGGCGUAAUGACUCAUUGUAGGGCUCAUCUAUGUGGAUACCUGCAUUUUUUAUCAUAAAUAAAGGACAUCUUUUUGCAUUCAAAUAUUUUGUUCACUGUCUUUCUAUUUUUGCAGUUUUCAAAAAUCAAAAAAUAUUUGGCAAUGUUUUG